rnacentral:lncRNA from 1 species
CAGGGACGGAGGUCAGGCUGCAGCAAGGCCUGCCCCCGCCGCAGGGUGGUGUUGGGUGUGGGGUCCGCUGGCGGGGUGGCCGGCUCAGCGUCUGGACCCCCGCCCCAGGUUCCCCUGUCUGGGUCCUGUUGUCAGCCACUUCUGGAAGCUCCAGGACUACUGUCUGGGCUGCGGGCAGCCCCACGACCAGGAGGACACGGAGAGCUUUGUGUCCUGCAGUACCCCGGGCUGCCGAGGUCUCUUCUGCUCCACCUGUUUCCGUCUCCUGGACAAUACCUGCUCUGUGUGCGCGGCUCCCCUCUCCCAGCAGGGGGGCCUGGACCUGGAGCUGUGAGUCUCCAGAGGGAUGGGGUGGCUGUAGUCCUGGGGGUGGGGGCAGGAGCUGCCACCUGAUGGGCGGCUUCUCCAGGGACUCCAGUGACGAGGAGGGCCCCCGGCUCUGGCUGGCUGCUGCUCGGACGAAGGGCCCUGAGCAGGAGUGGUUACUGCGGCAGCGGCUGCAGGAGGCCCUGGGCAGGACCCUCACUUCGGAGUCCAGCCCCGAGGUCAGUGACCUGGACGAGGAGAAGGGGCCUCGGCAGAGGACACACAGGUAGCAGCCCCCACCUGAGGCCCAGUCUCUCAGGAUUCCCAGCCUGCCUUGGCCCUCACUGACAUCCUCAGAAAUCCUCUGCCCUCAAAGCAGUCCCCCUCCAGCUUCAGAAGCCCAGCCCCUCAGUCUGUCCUCUCCUGAUCUCUCCCACCUACCCCCAAAAUAAAGGAACCAAAGGCAG